UCGAUUCCCUUAGUAGCGGCGAGCGAAACGGGAAGAGCCCAAACCAACAAGCUUGCUUGUUGGGGUUGUAGGACACUCUAUACGGAGUUACAAAGGACGACAUUAGACGAAUCAUCUGGAAAGAUGAAUCAAAGAAGGUAAUAAUCCUGUAGUCGAAAAUGUUGUCUCUCUUGAGUGGAUCCUGAGUACGACGGAGCACGUGAAAUUCCGUCGGAAUCUGGGAGGACCAUCUCCUAAGGCUAAAUACUCUCUAGUGACCGAUAGUGAACCAGUACCGUGAGGGAAAGGUGAAAAGCACCCCGGAAGGGGAGUGAAAUAGAACCUGAAACCGUGUGCUUACAAGUAGUCAGAGCCCGUUAAUGGGUGAUGGCGUGCCUUUUGUAGAAUGAACCGGCGAGUUACGAUUUGAUGCAAGGUUAAGCAGUAAAUGUGGAGCCGUAGCGAAAGCGAGUCUGAAUAGGGCGUUUAGUAUUUGGUCGUAGACCCGAAACCAGGUGAUCUACCCUUGGUCAGGUUGAAGUUCAGGUAACACUGAAUGGAGGACCGAACCGACUUACGUUGAAAAGUGAGCGGAUGAACUGA
rnacentral:rRNA from 1 species